rnacentral:lncRNA from 1 species
GUUCCGAUUCACACAAUACCUUAGAAACUGACAAAUGUAAAAGUUAGGUCUGGUCAAUUAAAUUUGAACAUAAGGUCGCAAGUAUACGAACCCUGACCAACAGACAGACAUAGACAUCUUACUAUCAUUCAAUAUAUCAAAUACAAUUGACGUCAUAUAUGAAACAUGCAAACAGAUGUGUACACCAUACACUAAAUACCGUGGCGC